rnacentral:SRP_RNA from 2 species
GCCGGGCGUGGUGGUGUGCGCCUGUAAUCCCAGCUAUUCUGGAGGCUGAGGCAGGAGAAUCACUUGAGCCCGGGAGUUAGAGGUUGCAGUUAGCUGAGAUCAGCCACUGCACUCCAGCCUGGGCAACAGAGUGAGACUCCGUCUCAA